rnacentral:rRNA from 1 species
UACAGAGGGAGCUAGCGUUGUUCGGAAUUACUGGGCGUAAAGCGCGCGUAGGUGGCGUGGUAAGUUAGGAGUGAAAUCCUGGGGCUUAACCUCAGAAUUGCUCUUAAGACUGCUACGCUAGAGGUAGGCAGAGGAUGGUGGAAUUCUUAGUGUAGCGGUGAAAUGCGUAGAUAUUAAGAGGAACACCAGUGGCGAAAGCGGCCAUCUGGGCCUAUUCUGACACUAAAGUGCGAAAGCGUGGGGAGCAAACAGGAUUAGAUACCCCGGUAGUCC